rnacentral:lncRNA from 1 species
CCGCAGAAAAAAAGGCGCAGAACAGCCGGAAACGGUAAUUACCGUACGGAACCCAAAUAAGCUGAGGGAGCCUGAUAACCCGCCCCAAAAUGGGGCUCCGACCCGACUGUACGAACCGUAAAAUCACCAAACAGUAACUGUACGCACUGUACAGAAGCUCCGAACAGCAUGGGAGGCCUAACCGCAGGGAGAGAAGAGCGGCGCGUGAGGGCGCGUCCGACCUCCGAUUUGGUCGAUCUACCUCCGGCCCAAAAAACCCCAAUCGACUGUGACCAAUCUCAAUUACAUCUCACUCAAGUACUCCAAUAAAAUCAGUAAUAAAAGCAUAUAAAUUGCACCACCUUAAACCAAAGCCCUAAGCUGAUCUGUGGCUUUCUUGGUCCUUGAUGUCCGCAUGUGACUGCUGAAAGUGUUUGAAGUCUGGAGGGAAAAAAAUAAUAAAGACGGACACACAAGGACAAGACUGAAACAUAAGAGAGAGUUUGGAUUUUGGAAGUCUGAAAGGAUAAAUAGAGUACAAAAAGGAGGGAACGGACAAGACUGAAGAGUGCAGUGCAUGCCCUAAUCCUAUGAGGAUAAC